ACACAUGCAAGUCGAACGAGAGAGAGGGAGCUUGCUUCCUCAAUCGAGUGGCGAACGGGUGAGUAACGCGUGAGGAACCUGCCUCAAAGAGGGGGACAACAGUUGGAAACGACUGCUAAUACCGCAUAAGCCCACAGGUCGGCAUCGACCAGAGGGAAAAGGAGCAAUCCGCUUUGAGAUGGCCUCGCGUCCGAUUAGCUAGUUGGUGAGGUAAUGGCCCACCAAGGCAACGAUCGGUAGCCGGACUGAGAGGUUGAACGGCCACAUUGGGACUGAGACACGGCCCAGACUCCUACGGGAGGCAGCAGUGGGGAAUAUUGCACAAUGGGGGAAACCCUGAUGCAGCGACGCCGCGUGGAGGAAGAAGGUCUUCGGAUUGUAAACUCCUGUUGUUGAGGAAGAUAAUGACGGUACUCAACAAGGAAGUGACGGCUAACUACGUGCCAGCAGCCGCGGUAAAACGUAGGUCACAAGCGUUGUCCGGAAUUACUGGGUGUAAAGGGAGCGCAGGCGGGAAGACAAGUUGGAAGUGAAAUCUAUGGGCUCAACCCAUAAACUGCUUUCAAAACUGUUUUUCUUGAGUAGUGCAGAGGUAGGCGGAAUUCCCGGUGUAGCGGUGGAAUGCGUAGAUAUCGGGAGGAACACCAGUGGCGAAGGCGGCCUACUGGGCACCAACUGACGCUGAGGCUCGAAAGUGUGGGUAGCAAACAGGAUUAGAUACCCUGGUAGUCCACACCGUAAACGAUGAUUACUAGGUGUUGGAGGAUUGACCCCUUCAGUGCCGCAGUUAACACAAUAAGUAAUCCACCUGGGGAGUACGACCGCAAGGUUGAAACUCAA
rnacentral:rRNA from 1 species